rnacentral:rRNA from 1 species
UACGUAGGGGGCAAGCGUUGUUCGGAAUCACUGGGCGUAAAGCGCGUGUAGGCGGCUCUGCAAGUCGGGUGUGAAAUCCCGAGGCUCAACCUCGGAACUGCACUCGAUACUGCUUGGCUCGAGUCCCGGAGAGGGUGGCGGAAUUCCCGGUGUAGGGGUGAAAUCCGUAGAUAUCGGGAGGAACACCAGUGGCGAAGGCGGCCACCUGGACGGUGACUGACGCUGAGACGCGAAAGCGUGGGGAGCAAACAGG